GAUGAACGCUAGCGAUAGGCUUAACACAUGCAAGUCGAGGGGCAGCAUGGUCUUAGCUUGCUAAGACUGAUGGCGACCGGCGCACGGGUGCGUAACGCGUAUGCAACUUGCCUCACAGAGGGGGAUAACCCGUCGAAAGACGGACUAAUACCGCGUACACUUGGGAUAGGGCAUCCUGACCCAAGGAAAUGAAAUUCGCUGUGAGAUAGGCAUGCGUCCCAUUAGCUAGUUGGUGAGGUAACGGCUCACCAAGGCGACGAUGGGUAGGGGAACUGAGAGGUUGAACCCCGACACUGGUACUGGGACACGGACCAGACACCUACGGGAGGCAGCAGUGAGGAAUAUUGGUCAAGGGGCGAGAGCCUGAACCAGCCAAGUCGCGUGAAGGAUGACUGUCUUAUGGAUUGUAAACUUCUUUUAUACGGGAAUAACAAGAGUCACGUGUGGCUCCCUGCAUGUACCGGAUGAAUAAGCAUCGGCUAACUCCGUG
rnacentral:rRNA from 1 species